rnacentral:rRNA from 1 species
CACGUAGGCGGCUUCUUAAGUCAGGGGUGAAAUCCUGGAGCUCAACUCCAGAACUGCCUUUGAUACUGAGGAGCUUGAGUUCGGGAGAGGUGAGUGGAACUGCGAGUGUAGAGGUGAAAUUCGUAGAUAUUCGCAAGAACACCAGUGGCGAAGGCGGCUCACUGGCCCGAUACUGACGCUGAGGUGCGAAAGCGUGGGGAGCAAACA